GAGGCAGAGGCGGAGAUCGGGCGGAGGCAGGCAGAUUUCUUUGAGUUUGAGACCAGCCAGGGCUACAGAGUGAGACCUCUCAAGCAAAAACAAGCGGCAUGGGGAGGUUUAUUGCUUGCAGCAAACUAGGAGCAAACUGGGGGACCAUUCAAAGCAGUGUCUCCCUAGACAUUCUGGCUCUCUGGCUUUUCUCUUUUCUUUUGGUGCUAGGACAGAAGAGACCUUCUGUGUGUAGGGCUCUCCCUGCAGCUGAGUCUCCCGCUCUCCCGCGCUUUCUGACUUUGACAGGAUGAUGAAGAUGAAUGACUCAAACGGGAUGGGGAACUCGGCUGGAAUCCACUUGCUCACUCCCAGCUCCAGAGAGAAGGAAAGAUCCCCUAGCACCCUAAGCUGGCUGAGGGUUUGCCCCUUCCUCCUGUGGUCCCAUUCCCAAGAGUCCCAUCUUCUGGCUCACAGAGCAACUCCCCUUUGAAAAGUCCUACCCUAUCCAAACCAUUUCUACUCUCUUAUGCUCGCCUUGCUAGACCGGGCCAAUUUCCAAGCAGCAAAAGCCAUGUCUUGAGGGGUGGGGAUUCCUGGAAAAAGUAACUUGGAUGGUUUUGUGUCUGAGUUUCCAUAUCCCAAACCCAUUCAAUGUUCUUGAUGGUUCCUGGGCUUAUCGCUUCCUGGAAACCACUGGUCAAGUGUGCUCCUGCCACUGCUUUUACUCUGAAACACACCUCCAGGAGGAGGGGACAGCUGAAGUCUGCAGCUGGGAAUAAUAUAAGCUCAGUAGAUUGGUACAACCU
rnacentral:lncRNA from 1 species